UACGGAGGGUGCAAGCGUUGUCCGGAAUCACUGGGCGUAAAGGCGCGUAGGCGGCUCAUGAAGGCUGUGGUGAAAGUCCGGGGCUCAACCUCGGAUCGGCCGGUGGCGACUCGUGGGCUGGAGCACUGUAGAGGCGGGUGGAAUUCCGGGGUGUAGCGGUGGAAUGCGUAGAGAUCCGGAAGAACACCAGUGGCGAAGGCGGCCCGCUGGGCAGUGGCUGACGCUGAGGCGCGACAGCGUGGGGAGCAAAC
rnacentral:rRNA from 1 species